UACGGGGGGAGCAAGCGUUGUUCGGAUUUACUGGGCGUAAAGGGCGCGUAGGCGGCGCAGCAAGUCACUUGUGAAAUCUCCGGGCUUAACUCGGAACGGUCAAGUGAUACUGUUGUGCUAGAGUGCGGAAGGGGCAACUGGAAUUCUCGGUGUAGCGGUGAAAUGCGUAGAUAUCGAGAGGAACACCUGCGGCGAAGGCGGGUUGCUGGGCCGACACUGACGCUGAUGCGCGAAAGCCAGGGGAGCGAACGGG
rnacentral:rRNA from 1 species